rnacentral:sRNA from 1 species
GCAUAAAUUUGCAAACUGUUGCAACAACAAAAGGUCGCUUUCGCGGCCUUUUC